AAGGAGGAAGGAGGCUGGACUCUGGGCAGUGGUCCUACCAACUGCUGUGGUGCUGCCACUCUGAACCAGGAAUGCCAACUCUCGUCUGCCGCAUCUCGGAUAUCUCGGUGUCUCAGGAGGACGGGGGCAUCAGAAAGCACUUGUGCCAUUCUGAGCCCGAAGGCACAUCAGUCCAGAGGGCAGCUGGUGUGCACGAUGGGAUAGUGAGAGACUGGUUAUGAUUUCCGCCUGUUGACACUUGUGAAGACGUGGUUCAUGACCUCCAGCCAUGCUCUGUGGUCCACCUGACUUUAGAACAAGGUGUGGAGGCUGCUGCUGAGUGGAGCAAUCUGCAUGUAUCUCGGGGUCCUGUUGCUCCUCAGUGAUGUACAACAGCCUUAGGGAAUCCCAGCUGAACUCCACAGAGCUCUCUUCCUGGCAUUGCUGGCUCUUGUACACACUAUGUCUCCUGCUGGAAAACAACCACUCGUCACAUCAGAUUUUAGAGGGGCUCACAGCUGAGCUUGCCUUGAGUCUCAUAUGAGACUUUGGACUUGGACUUUUGAACAACGUUGGAACAGUUAAGACCUCGAGACUCUUGGGGAUGGAGUGACUGCAUUGUGCAUUGACACAUAGACACACACCUUUGGGGGCUAGAAAUGGAGUGCUGUCUAUGGUUUGGAUGUUGUCUGUCCCCCAAGGCCAUGUGUUAAAGGCGUAGUGGUGCUGUCAGGAGCGAGUGGAGCCGAUGCUGGGCAGGAGGACUUCGCCUUGGUGAAGGUGGGAAGGAAAGUAGACGAGAGGACACUUUUGCUCUGAGGGAGAUACAGUCACCUGGUCAUCCUGGAGACAAACGUCAGUCUUUCACAUCGAUGAUGCUGCAUCACCAUCAACGUCUCUGCCCUGUGAUAAGGACGAGCCGCUGUAGCAGUUCAGCGAUCACAGGUGGAAAAUGGAAGAGCCACAAAUCAUGGCAGGGAAGAAAUUCUCUGGGUAGAUUUACCUUGAUGUCACAAGGGGACAGAGGAGGCGAGAAGGGCCCACGUCCAUCGUGAGAGGUCAACAUGAGUCUUGAGGCUCUGAUUCUUCACUUCAUUGCGAGUGGCGAGAAGACCAUGGUUGGGUCAUUUCCACUGAGGUCCCUCGGUGUUGUUUCAGAAGACACAGUUUCCAGGUCUCUGACUGUGAACACUGGUUGUCACCAGUGGGUGGGUCUCGGAAACUCUUUACCUGAUGAAGAAGCCCCCUCACACAAUGCAUGGAGCCCCAUGAUGCUUAGACACAUCUGAAUUCAGGAAAGCAGGAGAUGCCGUGGCUGUAUUAGCAAGGGCAUGAGCCUCCUGUGACUAUACUUAAGUCACAAGUCAAGUCAUGUUUUCCAGUGACAGUUCACCCGAUUGCCAUUAGAGAUAACAAGGCCACCCAACGGAUUCAGUUCACUUUGGCACUUUUUAAAAUGCUGUUGGUGCUUUCAAGUUCUCCAGAAGACUGAGAGCAGCAGGGACGAUGAUAGCCAUGUUGAAUUCAAUGCCUUAUUUGUCUUAUGAUUUGUGUAGGGUGAUGGGUUUCUCUGUCAUGGAAAUUUCUUCAGGGGUGUCUCAUCAAGGAAAUACAGCUUCUAAUAACUUCCUGGCAAUAAUCAUGGCAUUGGAUUUCCUAUCUAGAAAAGCUUUUAUCCAACCCACAGUUUACAAACUACUAGAAAUGCCAGCUGGACCCUGUUUGAAGGUGGCGACUGGAUGAAGAACCCAUGUAGAUGUUCAAAUGUCCCAUCAGGUGGUGGACAUGUCCCCCCUUAAAGUUUUUGCUGCCUUUCCAGGGUUUGGGUUUGGUGAACCAAAUAUGGAUUGUUCUCAAUUGCAAACAUUUUUGGCAAUUCUCUGACAGCCACAGCUCCAGUGUUUUCAUCAUUUGGGUUAUCGUGCCUGUUUUAAAAUAAUGAGACAUGGAAUGCAGCAAUGGGGAGGGUCAGGCCACCAUCUGGGCCUUUGAUGAGGCCAUGAUUAGCCCAUUUACAUGCUUUCAGAUACUAAUUUUAUUUCCAGAAUAGGAGCAUCUCACUGUUUAUUGAAUAGAUCAUCAUAGGGAACUUGAUUUGGACCAAUCACAUGGCAUUCAUUCAAAUCACAUAUAAUUUUUAGUACUGGCAGAAUUAGCAUGAAAAUCUGCCAAAGCAUUUCCUUUGUUUCUAAUUAUAUUUUGUCCCUUGUUGUUUUAGGAAUUUUAUGAAACUUAUCUGUUUCUUCAGUUUGUGCUGGCAAAUCUUACCUAGUCUAAUGUAUGGUCAGGUUCAUAGGCGUUUGGUAAGAUUUCUGGAUUAUACAUUCAUGAUGGGUUUAACACGGGUAGAGUUAGCAUUAUUAUUUGACUGUGCUUCCCAUAUAAUUUACUGUAACAAAUAAACUCCAUAACUUACCCUGGUCAUGCACUAACAAAUGUUUGCUUCUACACUCAUGACUCUAAGCUCUGCUGGGCCAGAAGUCUGCAUUACCAAAGGAGGAGGCACAAGAACAAUUCCAUUGAACUUGACUUUUAGACUUCCAUCUGGCUAAUUUGGGCUUCUCCUACCCCGGUGUCAACUGUCUGAGGAGGAAAUUAUAAUACUGCAUGGGGUAGCUGAUCCUGACUGCCAAGAAGAAACUGGACUACCACUUAGUAAUGGAGGAUUAAGAACUACCAAGAAACCUGGAGAAGCAUUAUUUUGGAUGUGUCAGUGAGGAUGUUUGCAGAGUAUGUGAGUUGAAGUGAACGAGGCGGGGAAGACUGAUCCUCAGUGUAGGUAGACCCCACCCAAUCAAGGUGUGUUGGCGUGUCCCCGAGUGCUGUUCACGCCCGUCUCCUGCCUUGGACAUCAGAACUCAGGGCUUGAUGGCCCUCGGACCCCAAGACAUGCCAGCAACGCCCCCGCCAACACGCCAGGGAUGUAGGACUUCAACCUUGACUUGAGAGUUAACCAUCAGCUCUCCAGGUGCUGAGGCCUUGGGGGUUGCCCGGAGCCAUGCUAGUGACAUUCCAAGGUCUCUAGCACGCAGACAAGCUGCCAGGAUCAGGCCAGCCAAUUCUCCCUCUCAUAGAGCGUGUCUCCUACAUAGCCUGUCGAUUCUGUCUCUCUUCAGAAGCCCGACUAAUCCAUCCUUUAUGUGGGAAUUUCAUCCUACUUGUAUCUAUUUAACUCACAUAUUCUUAUUGUCUGUCCUGAAAUGCUUAUAUCGAUAAGAUGCUAAACAACUAGCCAUUUCCCCAGGUCUUCUCCUCUUUGCCUACUUUUUAAUGUAGAGAUAACGUAAUGUAAUUGUAUAUCAGUAAUCCUAGGUAAGAAAACGGGUGCUCCCGAGUUGGACCUAAUGAUGAAAUCCUGAAGAUGCAUCUGUUCUCCAGACCCACAAUAUGCUCAUUCAAACACUGCCCCUGCCAUAGAGCUUGAAAAGUCUUUGAAUCAGUUCAUAAUUGUUUCUGACACAUGAAGAGAACUUCAUUUAUAUAAGUGUUUACUUUUUUUUCCUUUUCAAACCAAUUAAAUAAAACUCUUUGACCAUUUAACU